rnacentral:rRNA from 1 species
UACGGGGGGUCCAAGCGUUGUUCGGAAUCACUGGGCGUAAAGCGCAUGUAGGUGGCUUUUCAAGUCAACUGUGAAAGCCCCGGGCCUAACCCGGGAAGUGCAGUUGAUACUGUUGAGCUUGAGUACGAGAGAGGAUAGUGGAAUUCCAGGUGUAGUGGUGAAAUACGUAGAUAUCUGGAGGAACAUCGGUGGCGAAGGCGGCUAUCUGGCUCGAUACUGACACUGAGAUGCGAAAGCGUGGGGAUCAAAC